rnacentral:sRNA from 1 species
UCAACUUUUAUUGCCAUUGAAUGGGACUCCCUUUAGAUAUAAUGUUAGCUUAAGAAAGACUGUGGAAACUUUUGGGGGGAUGGUGGGCAGAUGGGAGGGAAUCAAGUUAGAUAAGGAUAGCUCCUACCUAAAUGCAAAUUCACAGGCUUUUAUGAAGCCCUCUUUUGUCCUAGAAGUUGUUUUAUCUGAGAUUUAUUUUCUUAUAGCCAAUGAAUUUCCCUGUUUGCCAAAGCAAGUGGCUUGGAUCCUGGCCACAAGCAAGGUUUUCAUGUAUCCAGAGUUACUUCCAGUGUGUUCCCUGAAGGCAAAGAAUCCCCAGGAUAAGAUCGUCUUCACCAAGGCUGAGGACAAUUUGUUAGCUUUAGGACUGAAGCAUUUUGAAGGAACUGAGUUUCCUAAUCCUCUAAUCAGCAAGUACCUUCUAACCUGCAAAACUGCCCACCAACUGACAGUGAGAAUCAAGAACCUCAACAUGAACAGAGCUCCUGACAACAUCAUUAAAUUUUAUAAGAAGACCAAACAACUGCCAGUCCUAGUAAAAUGCUGUGAAGAGAUCCAGCCACAUCAGUGGAAGCCACCUAUAGAGAGAGAAGAACACCGGCUCCCAUUCUGGUUAAAGGCCAGUCUGCCAUCCAUCCAGGAAGAACUGCGGCGCAUGGCUGAUGGUGCUAGAGAGGUAGGAAAUGUGACUGGAACCACUGAGAUCAACUCAGAUCAAGGCCUAGAAAAAGACAAUUUGGAGUUGGAGAGUGAAACUCGGUACCCACUGCUAUUGCCUAAGGGUAUAGUCCUAAAACUGAAGCCAGUUGCCACCCGUUUCCCCAGGAAGGCUUGGAGACAGAAGCGUUCAUCAGUCCUGAAACCCCUCCUUAUCCAACCCAGCCCCUCUCUCCAGCCCAGCUUCAACCCUGGGAAAACACCAGCCCGAUCAACUCAUUCAGAAGCCCCUCCGAGCAAAAUGGUGCUCCAGAUUCCUCACCCGAUACAGCCAGCCACUGUUUUACAGACAGUUCCAGGUGUCCCUCCACUGGGGGUCAGUGGAGGUGAGAGUUUUGAGUCUCCUGCAGCACUGCCUGCUAUGCCCCCUGAGGCCAGGACAAGCUUCCCUCUGUCUGAGUCCCAGACUUUGCUCUCUUCUGCCCCUGUGCCCAAGGUAAUGCUGCCCUCCCUUGCCCCUUCUAAGUUUCGAAAGCCAUAUGUGAGACGCAGACCCUCAAAGAGAAGGGGAGUCAAGGCCUCUCCCUGUAUGAAACCUGCCCCUGUUAUCCACCACCCUGCAUCUGUUAUCUUCACUGUUCCUGCUACCACUGUGAAGAUUGUGAGCCUUGGCGGUGGCUGUAACAUGAUCCAGCCUGUCAAUGCGGCUGUGGCCCAGAGUCCCCAGACUAUUCCCAUCACCACCCUCUUGGUUAACCCUACUUCCUUCCCCUGUCCAUUGAACCAGCCCCUUGUGGCCUCCUCUGUCUCGCCCUUAAUUGUUUCUGGCAAUUCUGUGAAUCUUCCUGUACCAUCCACCCCUGAAGAUAAGGCCCACGUGAAUGUGGACAUUGCUUGUGCUGUGGCUAAUGGGGAAAAUGCCUUUCAGGGCCUAGAACCCAAAUUAGAGCCCCAGGAACUAUCUCCUCUGUGUGCUACUGUUUUCCCAAAAGUGGAACAUAGCCCAGGGCCUCCACUAGCAGAUGCAGAGUGCCAAGAAGGAUUGUCAGAGAACAGUGCCUGUCGCUGGACUGUUGUGAAAACAGAGGAGGGAAGGCAAGCUCUGGAGCCGCUCCCUCAGGGCAUCCAGGAAUCUCUAAACAACCCUACCCCUGGCGAUUUAGAGGAAAUUGUCAAGAUGGAACCUGAAGAUGCUAGAGAGGAAAUCAGUGGAUCCCCUGAGU